GCCAGACUCCUACGGGAGGCAGCAGUGGGGGAUAUUGCACAAUGGGGGAAACCCUGAUGCAGCGACGCCGCGUGAGUGAAGAAGUAUUUCGGUAUGUAAAGCUCUAUCAGCAGGGAAGAAAAAAGACGGUACCUGACUAAGAAGCCCCGGCUAACUACGUGCCAGCAGCCGCGGUAAUACGUAGGGGGCAAGCGUUAUCCGGAUUUACUGGGUGUAAAGGGAGCGUAGACGGCAAUACAAGUCGGAAGUGAAAUACCCGGGCUCAACCUGGGAACUGCUUUGGAAACUGUAUGGCUGGAGUGCUGGAGAGGUAAGCGGAAUUCCUAGUGUAGCGGUGAAAUGCGUAGAUAUUAGGAGGAACACCAGUGGCGAAGGCGGCUUACUGGACAGUAACUGACGUUGAGGCUCGAAAGCGUGGGGAGCAAACAGGAUUAGAUACCCGCGUACA
rnacentral:rRNA from 1 species